rnacentral:lncRNA from 1 species
AUAACAUUGUUAUUAGAUAAAGGGUAAAUUCUUUGUUAUGAUCAUUUGAUAUCUAUACAAGUGUAAUUAUAGGAUUGUGUAUAAGAAUUGGAGUUAGAUGGUAUCAUGAUUUGAAAGAAAUCAUGUAAUAAAAGUUUCACUGGUGUGAUAAGUAUUGGAUUUGAUUACAAGAGUAUUUAGUAUUAUAAGAGAUUUUGAGUUGUACUACGAAGAAGUGAGUAUUACAAUCAUAAAGUGUAACGUCUAUUCUAUUAUU